UACGUAGGGUGCGGGCGUGUCCGGAAUUAUUGGGCGUAAAGAGCUUGUAGGCGGUUUGUCGCGUCUGCUGUGAAAAUCCGGGGCUCAACCCCGGACUUGCAGUGGGUACGGGGCAGACUAGAGUGUGGUAGGGGGAGACUGGAAUUCCUGGUGUAGCGGUGGAAUGCGCAGAUAUCAGGAAGAACACCUAUGGCGAAGGCAGCUCUCUGGGACGGUACUGACGCUGAGACGCGAAAGCGUGGGGAGCGAACAGG
rnacentral:rRNA from 1 species